rnacentral:rRNA from 1 species
UUCGUAGGGUGCAAGCGUUAAUCGGAAUUACUGGGCGUAAAGCGUGCGCAGGCGGUUUUGUAAGUCUGACGUGAAAUCCCCGGGCUUAACCUGGGAAUUGCGUUGGAGACUGCAAGGCUAGAAUCUGGCAGAGGGGGGUAGAAUUCCACGUGUAGCAGUGAAAUGCGUAGAGAUGUGGAGGAACACCGAUGGCGAAGGCAGCCCCCUGGGUCAAGAUUGACGCUCAUGCACGAAAGCGUGGGGAGCAAACAGG